rnacentral:misc_RNA from 1 species
GAUGAAGAACGUAGCGAAAUGCGAUAAGUAGUGUGAAUUGCAGAAUUCAGUGAAUCAUCGAAUCUUUGAACGCACAUUGCGCCCCUUGGUAUUCCAUGGGGCAUGCCUGUUCGAGCGUCAUUUGUACCUUCAAGCUUUGCUUGGUGUUGGGUGUUUGUCCUGAGGGACUCGCCUUAAAGUAAUUGGCAGCCAGUGUUUUGGUUUUGAAGCGCAGCACAAGUCGCGAUUCAAAGCUAUACGCCAGCUUCCACAAGCCUUUUUCACUUUUGACCUCGGAUCAGGUAGGGAUACCCGCUGAACUUAAGCAUAUCAAUAGCGGAGGA